AGGGUUCGAUUAUGGCUCAGAUUGAACGCUGGCGGGAUGUUUUACACAUGCAAGUCGAACAAGCACGGACUUCGGUCUGGUGGCGAGUGGCGAACGGGUGAGUAAUGUAUCGAACGGUGCUUAGUAGCGGGGGAUAACUACGCGCGAAAGCGUAGCUAAUACCGCAUACGCCCUUCGGGGAAAGCGGGGGACCUGGGCCUCGCACCAUUAGAGCGGCCGAUAUCGGAUUAGCUAGUUGGUGGGGUAACGGCUCACCAUGAUCCGUAGCUGGUUUGAGAGGACGACCAGCCACACUGGGGGACUGAGACACGGCCCAGAUCUUUACGGCGCAGUGGGGAAUUUUGGAUAAUGGGGAAACCCUGAUCCAGCCAUCCGGCGUGUGCGAUGAAGGCCUUCGGGUUGUAAAGCACUUUGGCAGGAAAAGAAACGGCAUCGGAUAAUACCCCGCAACUGAUACCAGUAUUUAAGCACCGGCUAACUACGCCAGCAGCCGCGGUAAUGUAGGGUGCGCAAGUUGUUAACGGAAUUACUGGCGUAAAGGCAGGCGGUUCGGAAAGAAAGAUGUGAAAUCCCAGAAUAACUUUGGAACUGCAUUUUUAACUACCGAGCUAGAGCGUGUCAGAGGGAGGUGAAUUCCGCGUAGCAGCGAAAUGCGUAGAUAUGCGAGGAACACUGAUGGCGAAGGCAGCCUUGGGAUAACACUGACGCUCAUGCACGAAAGCGUGGGGAGCAAACAGGAUUAGAUACCCUGGUAGUCCACACUCUAAACGAUGUCAACUAGCUGUUGGGGCCUUCGGGCCUUGGUAGCGCAGCUAACGCGUGAAGUUGACCGCCUGGGGAGUACGGUCGUGAUUAAAACCGGUGCUGAAUUGACUGGGACCCGCACAAGCGGUGGAUGAUGUGAUUAAUUGAUAUAACGCGAAAACCUGUUUGAAUUCUGGAUAUGUCGGGAAUCCCGAAGAGAUUUGGGAGGCUCGCAAGAGAACCGGGAACACAGUGUGCUGCAUGGCUGUCGUCAGCUGUUGUGUCGGUGAUGUUGGGGUUGGAGUCCCGCAACGAGCGCAACCCUUGCUUUGCUGCUACGAAAGGGCACUCUAAUGAGACUGCCGGUGACAAACUGGAGGAAGGUGAUGACGUCAAGUCCUUAUGGCCCUGGUAGGGGCUUCGACGUUUCUUUCAAUGGUCGGGACAGAGGGUCGCCAAUCGCGCGGGAGCAAUCCCAGAAACCCGAUCGUAGUCCGGAUCGCAUGUCUGCGCUCAGACUGGCGUGAAGUCGGAAACGGUAAUCGCGGAUCAGCAUGUCGCGGUGAAUAUUGCUCGGGUUCUGUACACACUGCCCGUCACACCAUGGGAGUGGGUUUUACCAGAAGUAGUUGGCCUAACCGUAAGGAGGGCGAUUACCACGGUAGGAUUCAUGACUGGGGAGAAGUCGCACAAGGUA
rnacentral:rRNA from 1 species